GACGAACGCUGGCGGCGUGCUUAACACAUGCAAGUCGAACGGAAAGGCCCUGCUUUUGUGGGGUGCUCGAGUGGCGAACGGGUGAGUAACACGUGAGUAACCUGACCUAGACUUUGGGAUAACUUCAGGAAACUGGGGCUAAUACCGGAUAGGAGCUCCUGCUGCAUGGUGGGGGUUGGAAAGUUUCGGCGGUUGGGGAUGGACUCGCGGCUUAUCAGCUUGUUGGUGGGGUAGUGGAUUACCAAGGCUUUGACGGGUAGCCGGCCUGGGAGGGUGACCGGCCUCAUUGGGCCUGAGGUACGGCCCAGACUCCUACGGGAGGCAGCAGUGGGGAAUAUUGCACAAUGGGCGGAAGCCUGUUGCAGCAACGCCGCGUUCGGGAUGACGGCCUUCGGGUUGUAAACCGCUUUCGCCUGUGACGAAGCGUGAGUGACGGUAAUGGGUAAAGAAGCACCGGCUAACUACGUG
rnacentral:rRNA from 1 species